rnacentral:misc_RNA from 1 species
AUGAGUGUCAGAAAUGGACAACCUAAGAAAUAAAAUUAUGUAAGAGGCAUACUAUACACCUUACAAUGUUCACCCAUGAUAUACAAAGAUGUACCAUGAUGUAAAGGAUAGGUACUGGUGGAAUGGUAUGAAGGGAAACAUAACAGACUUUGUGUCUAAGUGCCUAGCUUGUCAAAAAGUAAAGUUUGAGCAUUAGAAGCCGUCAAGAAAG